CGUGCUGCCUGGAGCCCCGGGGGCUGGGGGCGGCUGCCCCAGGUCCGGUCGCCGGGCCGUGCCACACAGAGCCCCGGGGCCGGCCGGGCUCGUAGCCCCACUGCCCGGAGCAUGGGCCGGCGGCGCCGGGAGCGGAGGCUGCGGGGGGGGAACAGCAGGGUUUCCCCAAGACCGACCAACAGCUGUGAAUGGUGUGGAGGAGAAGGUGUUGGUAUUUGGUUGUGUAUUGGUAUUAUGUGUAUGUGUUGAGGCUUGUCGGGGCUUUGUGCUGGGGGAGAAGCUGAGCCCUGAUUCGGGGCCGGGGCUUCUCUGACUCGGGGUCCUGUGAAGGGAGCCAGCCCGUCAGGCCGUGGCACAGGAGCCAGCAAACAGGGCUGUAAACAGGGGAGUCUGAGAGGGAGUUUGUCUUGUGGUGCUUGUUGGGGGUUUGUUGUUGCUGUGGGGGGUGGGGUUUGGGUGUUUCCCAGGUGAACAGGAUUUAGGUGGGAAGGGGAUGAGAGACACAGAGGCAGCAGUGGGAGUGACUCAUGUCGUGGAAGACACAAUGCAGACGACUGGCUGUGGAAGCUGCCGUAUGUCCAUGAUCCUGGAGGGGUACCUGUACCAAGGAAAAAGAAGUCAAGCCUCAGAGUCUACUGCCCUCAUGCGACGGAAAGUGAGUGAGAGCAGCGAGCCUGUGACCGUUGGUGAUGCCAGGCAAGAGGCCACCAUCUGGGAGCCGAGCAAUCGCCAGUCUCGGUGAGAGGCUGCUCGUUUCUCUGGUCAGGAACGGUGUCUUCUCCACAGCUGAAGGUUGGAUCCAAGAGGAUGACUCCAGGUGGACACGGGUAGGUGUGCAUUCCCACAGGUGAGGUCUCGGGAGCCAUGGAGAAGUC